rnacentral:rRNA from 1 species
UCAGGACGAACGCUGGCGGCGUGCCUAAUACAUGCAAGUCGAACGGUCUUUCUAUGGAAGCUUGCUUCCACUGAGAAGAGUAGUGGCGAACGGGUGAGUAACACGUGGGUAACCUGCCCAUAAGAGGGGGGAUAACAUCCGGAAACGGGUGCUAAUACCGCAUAGUUUUCUUGAUCGCAUGAUCGGGAAAGGAAAGACGGCCUUUGUGCUGUCGCUUAUGGAUGGACCCGCGGCGUAUUAGUUAGUUGGUGAGGUAACGGCUCACCAAGACGAUGAUACGUAGCCGACCUGAGAGGGUGAUCGGCCACAUUGGGACUGAGACACGGCCCAAACUCCUACGGGAGGCAGCAGUAGGGAAUCUUCCGCAAUGGACGAAAGUCUGACGGAGCAACGCCGCGUGAGUGAAAGAAGGUUUUCGGAUCGUAAAACUCUGUUGUCAGAGAAGAACAAGUUGGAGAGUAACUGCUCCAGCCUUGACGGUAUCUGACCAGAAAGCCACGGCUAACUACGUGCCAGCCGCCGC